rnacentral:rRNA from 1 species
GAACGCUGGCGGCGUGCCUAACACAUGCAAGUCGAACGUGAAGCCUACACUGACUACUUCGGUAUGAUUUGUAGGUGGAAAGUGGCGAACGGGUGAGUAACACGUGGGUGACCUGCCUCAAAGUGGGGGAUAACCAUUGGAAACGAUGGCUAAUACCGCAUGUAUCUGUUUGUGUGGGAACACGAAUAGGAAAAGCUCCGGCGCUUUGAGAGGGGCCCGCGGUCGAUUAGCUAGUUGGUAGGGUAAAAGCCUACCAAGGCGACGAUCGAUAGCUGGUCUGAGAGGACGAUCAGUCACACGGGAACUGAGACACGGUCCCGACUCCUACGGGGGGCAGCAGUGAGGAAUAUUGCACAAUGGGGGCAACCCUGAUGCAGCAACGCCGCGUGGGGGAUGAAGGCCCUUGGGUCGUAAACCCCUUUUCUGCGGGAAGAGAAAGGACGGUACCGCAGGAAUAAGUCACGGCUAACUACGUGCCAGCAGCCGCGGUAAU